UGAGGAAUAUUGCGCAAUGGGGGCAACCCUGACGCAGCAACGCCGCGUGAGUGAGGAAGGUUUUCGGAUUGUAAAGCUCUGUCGAGCGGAAAGAAAUGCACGAUGGCUAAUAUCCAUCAUGCUUGACGGUACCGCUAGAGGAAGCACCGGCUAACUCCGUGCCAGCAGCCGCGGUAAUACGGGGGUGCAAGCGUUGUUCGGAAUCAUUGGGCGUAAAGAGCGUGUAGGCGGCUGGACAAGUCAGAUGUGAAAUCCCUGGGCUUAACCCAGGAAGUGCAUUUGAAACUGUCUAGCUGGAGUAAGGGAGAGGAAAGUGGAAUUCCUGGUGUAGAGGUGAAAUUCGUAGAUAUCAGGAGGAACACCGGUGGCGAAGGCGACUUUCUGGCCCUAUACUGACGCU
rnacentral:rRNA from 1 species